rnacentral:rRNA from 1 species
GACGAACGCUGGCGGCGUGCCUAAUACAUGCAAGUCGAACGCAGUGGCGGACGGGUGAGUAACACGUGGGUAACUGCCCUCCUUUUUGGGAUAAGCCUUGGAAACGGGGUCUAAUACCGAAUAACGGGGGAUGGCUCGCGGCCUAUCAGCUUGUUGGUUGGGUGAUGGCCUACCAAGGCGGUGACGGGUAGCCGGCCGUGGAGGGCGACCGGCCACAGUGGGCUGAGAUACGGCCCAAACUCCUACGGGGGGCAGCAGUGGGGAAGAUUGCACAAUGGGGGAAACCCUGAUGCAGCAACGCCGCGUGCGGGAUGACGGCCUUCGGGUUGUAAACCGCUUUCAGCCAUGACGCGGUAGUGGCAGAAGAAGCACCGGCUAACUACGUGCCAGCAGCCGCGGUAAUUC